rnacentral:rRNA from 1 species
AAUGAACGCUGGCGGCGCGCCUAAUACAUGCAAGUCGAGCGAGAAGACGUAGCAAUACGUUUGUAAAGCGGCGAACGGGUGAGGAAUACAUGGGUAACCUACCCUAGAGUGGGGAAUAACUAGCCGAAAGGUUAGCUAAUACCGCGUACGCUCCUUGGACUUCGGUUCAGGGAGGAAAGCGAUACCGAGGGUAUCGCGCUCUUGGAUGGGCUCAUGUCCUAUCAGCUUGUUGGUGGGGNGAUGGCCUACCAAGGCGACGACGGGUAGCCGGCCUGAGAGGGCGACCGGCCACACUGGGACUGAGAUACGGCCCAGACUCCUACGGGAGGCAGCAGUGGGGAAUAUUGCGCAAUGGGCGGAAGCCUGACGCAGCGACGCCGCGUGGGGAUGACGGCC